rnacentral:rRNA from 1 species
GACGAACGCUGGCGGCGUGCUUAACACAUGCAAGUCGAACGGAAAGGCCCUGCUUUGGGGGGUGCUCGAGUGGCGAACGGGGGAGUAACACGUGAGUAACCUGCCCUUGACUUUGGGAUAACUUCAGGAAACUGGGGCUAAUACCGGAUAGGAGGUCCUGCUGCAUGGUGGGGGGUGGGAAGGUUCGGCGGUUGGGGAUGGACUCGCGGCUUAUCAGCUUGUUGGUGGGGUAGUGGCUUACCAAGGCUUUGACGGGUAGCCGGCCUGAGAGGGUGACCGGCCACAUUGGGACUGAGAUACGGCCCAGACUCCUACGGGAGGCAGCAGUGGGGAAUAUUGCACAAUGGGCGGAAGCCUGAUGCAGCAACGCCGCGUGCGGGAUGACGGCCUUCGGGUUGUAAACCGCUUUCGCCUGUGACGAAGCGUGAGUGACGGUAAUGGGUAAAGAAGCACCGGCUAACUACGUG